AGAGUUUGAUCCUGGCUCAGGAUGAACGCUGGCGGCGUGCCUAACACAUGCAAGUCGAACGAUGAAACCGCCCUCGGGCGGACAUGAAGUGGCGAACGGGUGAGUAACACGUGACCAACCUGCCCCUUGCUCCGGGACAACCUUGGGAAACCGAGGCUAAUACCGGAUACUCCUCGCCCCCCUCCUGGGGGGCCCGGGAAAGCCCAGACGGCAAGGGAUGGGGUCGCGGCCCAUUAGGUAGUAGGCGGGGUAACGGCCCACCUAGCCCGCGAUGGGUAGCCGGGUUGAGAGACCGACCGGCCACAUUGGGACUGAGAUACGGCCCAGACUCCUACGGGAGGCAGCAGUGGGGAAUUUUGCGCAAUGGGGGAAACCCUGACGCAGCAACGCCGCGUGCGGGACGACGGCCUUCGGGUUGUAAACCGCUUUCAGCAGGGAAGAAAUUCGACGGUACCUGCAGAAGAAGCUCCGGCUAACUACGUGCCAGCAGCCGCGGUAAUACGUAGGGAGCGAGCGUUAUCCGGAUUCAUUGGGCGUAAAGAGCGCGUAGGCGGCCUCUCAAGCGGGAUCUCUAAUCCGAGGGCUCAACCCCCGGCCGGAUCCCGAACUGGGAGGCUCGAGUUCGGUAGAGGCAGGCGGAAUUCCCGGUGUAGCGGUGGAAUGCGCAGAUAUCGGGAAGAACACCGAUGGCGAAGGCAGCCUGCUGGGCCGCAACUGACGCUGAGGCGCGAAAGCUAGGGGAGCAAACAGGAUUAGAUACCCUGGUAGUCCACGCCGUAAACGAUGACUACUAGGUGUCGGUGUGCAAAGCACAUCGGUGCCGCAGCAAACGCAAUAAGUAGUCCACCUGGGGAGUACGUUCGCAAGAAUGAAACUCAAAGGAAUUGACGGGGACCCGCACAAGCGGUGGAGCAUGUGGUUUAAUUCGAAGCAACGCGAAGAACCUUACCUGGUCUUGACAUCCGGAUGACGGGCGAGUAAUGUCGCCGUCCCUUCGGGGCAUCCGAGACAGGUGGUGCAUGGUUGUCGUCAGCUCGUGUCGUGAGAUGUUGGGUUAAGUCCCGCAACGAGCGCAACCCUUAUCUUCAGUAGCCAGCAUAUAAGGUGGGCACUCUGGAGAGACUGCCAGGGAGAACCUGGAGGAAGGUGGGGAUGACGUCAAAUCAUCAUGCCCCUUAUGGCCAGGGCUACACACGUGCUACAAUGGCGUAAACAAAGGGAAGCGAGAGGGUGACCUGAAGCGAAUCCCAAAAAUAACGUCUCAGUUCGGAUUGUAGUCUGCAACUCGACUACAUGAAGCUGGAAUCGCUAGUAAUCGCGGAUCAGCAUGCCGCGGUGAAUAAAUUCCCGGGUCUUGCACACACCGCCCGUCA
rnacentral:rRNA from 1 species